AGAGUUUGAUCCUGGCUCAGGAUGAACGCUAGCUACAGGCUUAACACAUGCAAGUCGAGGGGCAGCAUGGUCUUAGCUUGCUAAGGCCGAUGGCGACCGGCGCACGGGUGAGUAACACGUAUCCAACCUGCCGUCUACUCUUGGACAGCCUUCUGAAAGGAAGAUUAAUACAAGAUGGCAUCAUGAGUCCGCAUGUUCACAUGAUUAAAGGUAUUCCGGUAGACGAUGGGGAUGCGUUCCAUUAGAUAGUAGGCGGGGUAACGGCCCACCUAGUCAACGAUGGAUAGGGGUUCUGAGAGGAAGGUCCCCCACAUUGGAACUGAGACACGGUCCAAACUCCUACGGGAGGCAGCAGUGAGGAAUAUUGGUCAAUGGACGAGAGUCUGAACCAGCCAAGUAGCGUGAAGGAUGACUGCCCUAUGGGUUGUAAACUUCUUUUAUAAAGGAAUAAAGUCGGGUAUGGAUACCCGUUUGCAUGUACUUUAUGAAUAAGGAUCGGCUAACUCCGUGCCAGCAGCCGCGGUAAUACGGAGGAUCCGAGCGUUAUCCGGAUUUAUUGGGUUUAAAGGGAGCGUAGGCGGAUUGUUAAGUCAGUUGUGAAAGUUUGCGGCUCAACCGUAAAAUUGCAGUUGAUACUGGCUGUCUUGAGUACAGUAGAGGUGGGCGGAAUUCGUGGUGUAGCGGUGAAAUGCUUAGAUAUCACGAAGAACUCCGAUUGCGAAGGCAGCUCACUGGAGUGUAACUGACGCUGAUGCUCGAAAGUGUGGGUAUCAAACAGGAUUAGAUACCCUGGUAGUCCACACAGUAAACGAUGAAUACUCGCUGUUUGCGAUAUACAGUAAGCGGCCAAGCGAAAGCGUUAAGUAUUCCACCUGGGGAGUACGCCGGCAACGGUGAAACU
rnacentral:rRNA from 1 species